AGUUUUUCUCAUGUAUGAAAUAGCAGUAGGGUAUCUAUGAUUUUUAAAUUGACGCAUAUUUGUAGCCAAAUUAGCAUGUUUGUGACGACUAAUCCCAUAAUUAGAUCGAGACACGGAUUUAAAUGGUGGUAGGUUUUGAAACCGUACCGGACUUCUUUUGGUGAUCCAUCAUCAAACCUCUCCAUGGAUCACUUGGUGGAUAGGAUCUCAAAUCUCCAUGAAAAAUCAUGGAUUAGGAGUUUUUCACUUUGUAACCAUGGAUCUUUUCUCUUCUCUUACUUUACUAAAGGAGACUUGACGAUGAUGUCAUGUUUCUCAUGUGUCAACAUCUUAAGAUGUCUAAGUAGGAAACAUGUAGGAUCCAUGAAAGUGUGGCGCAGUUGGUGUAUGCACUAUUGUUGUGUAGACCUGCAAAUGAGCCAACGAAGACACCAGCUUUGUUCUUGGGUUUUUGUCUAUGUCGUCUUCGUGUUCAUGGGAGGGCAUGUUAUCUGUAUUCCUUCUUGCUGCUAGUAGGCAGGGUUUUGUGUCAUUAAAAAUUAGAUUUGGAGUUUCCUCGCUGCUAUUUUCCAAAAAAUACAUGCAUUAUUAUUAGCCAAUGGCAGUUCUGUUAUUGUAGUGUUGUCUGCUUUGUAACCAUUGUAUUAAGGUUGUUUAUGUAGUUUUUUUGGGCUGUUUUUUGGCAUUUUCUUAUUGUUCUUUGGGCAGUUUUUUGGUUUUUAGGGCUAUUUUAUUUUGCAGUUUUAAUGCUAUUUUUAGUGAUCUUUGUUGCUAGCAUUCUUAGCAGAUAAAAGGGUGUUCGUUUCGGUGUCUAAACGACUAAACUAGAACAUUUAAGGUUCUAAUUUUCUUGUUUGUUUUGCCGUUGCUCCGUCUUAUAGGAUCGUUUCUUGGGUUUCCGAUCCAGGCUGUUGUUUUGGGCUUGCUGGUUAGGUUGCUGUUAAAGUUGUUGUCCGGGUCACUUCUUUGCUCCAUGGCCAGAAGGAACUAUUGGUCUUCGAAAAUGAAAACGGUAACAAAUUAAAAAAGGUAUGUGGGUCUGAUCUUAAAAGUAUUGAACUACUAGUGAUGGUGUAUGCAACCAAAGACACCAGCUGAGUUCGUGGGUUUUUGUCUAUGUUGUCUUCGCGUUCAUAGAAGGGCAUGUUAUAUGUGUUCCUUUCUUGUUGCUGCAUAUUCAGUUAAUAGGCAGGGUUUUGUGUCAAUAAAAAUGGAAUUUGGAGUUUUUUUGCUGCUGUUUUCCAAAAACAACAUGCAUUAUUAUUAGCCAAUUGUGGUUCCAUUAUUGUAGUGUUGUCUACUUUGUAACCAUUUUAUUAGGGUUGUUUAUGUAAUUUUUAGUGCUCUUUUUUUAGCAUCUUUUUAUGGUUGUUUCGGCAGCUUUUUAGUGUUUAGGGCUUAGUUAUGGCAGUUUUUAAUGCUAUUUUUAGUAAUCUUUGUUGCUAGCAUUUUUGUUACGAACAAAAAUGAUCUUUGUUGCUAGAACAUCUAAGCUUCUUUGGGAAAGCCUGCUUUAUGGACUUAUGGUUAUAAGGUUCUAACUUGGUUGUUUUCAUUGCCAUUGCUUAGUCUUUUAGGAUCGUUUCACGGGUUUCUAUCCAGGCUGUUGUUUUGGCUUUUGGGCUUGCUGGUUAAGUUGUUGUUCAAGUUGUUGUCCAGGUCACAUCUUUGCUUCAUGGCCAGAAGGAAUGCUAUCAUGGUUUGCUGCACAUGGGAACGUCUUAUAUAUCCCUAUUAAGUGUUUGUCGUUCUCAAUCUUUAGAUGUAGCCAGUUCUAUAAACCUUUUCUCUCAAAUGGGUUUGAUCAUUAUAUUGCUAGAAACCAAAAGGAUCAAAUGGAUUGCGCCGUCAAAUGAAUUGAAACUCUCCUAAAAAGCCUUUGCCUUUAGCUUCUUAUCUGGUAGUUACUUGACAAGGAUCAUAGGCUACCCGGGCCUUUUCUAUAUUGCAUGUAUUUACUGAAGAGUGAUCCUUGUUUAAAGUGUGGCAAGGAAACAUCUUUGAACCGAGAACAACAUUCAGUCAGUAAUUUAACUCUUUCUAACUUAACUUAUAUUUUAGUAAUAUAGAAUUUGUCUUUUGUUUGAUGGUGCGUAUCUGUAUUCUCGAUCAUAUGUAAUUAUGUAUGGUAUAUUUUUCACUUCAACAAAAAAGUGGUACAAUAUUUUUGAUA